GACGAACGCUGGCGGCGUGCUUAACACAUGCAAGUCGAACGGUAAGGCCCUGCUUGCAGGCUGCGCGAGAGGCGAACGUGGGAGUAACACGUGGGUGAUCUGCCCCGUACGUGGGGAUAAGCCUGGGAAACUGGGUCUAAUACGGGAUAGGACCAUGCUGCAGGUGGUGUGGUGGAAAGAUUAGUUCCGGUAAGGGAUGAGUUCGCGGCCUAUCAGCUUGUUGGCGGGGUAUUGGCCUAACAGGGCGUCGACGGCUAGCCGGCCUGAGGGGGUGUACGGCCGCAUUGGGACAGUGAAACGGCCCCACGUCCUACGGGAGGAAACGAUGGGGAAGAUUGGACAAUGGGAGAAAGCCUGGAGCAGCGACGCCGCGUGGGGGCUGGCGGCAUUCAGGUUGUCGAUUCCUAACACCCAUGACGAAGCGCUUAUAGUGACGGUACUGGUAGAGGAAGCACCGGCUAACUACGUG
rnacentral:rRNA from 1 species